rnacentral:rRNA from 1 species
GACGAACGCUGGCGGCGUGCUUAACACAUGCAAGUCGAACGGGCCUGUCUUCUUUUUUGGGGGUGGGUUGAGUGGCGAACGGGUGAGUAUCACGUGAGUAACCUGCCCUUCGGUCCUGGAUAACCGCUUGAAAGGGCGGCUAAUACGGGGUGGUCCGGUUGGUCCGCAUGGGCUGGUCGGGAUAGAUUCACUGUUUUUGGUGUUUCGGCGGGGGAUGGGCUCGCGGCCUAUCCGCUUGUUGGUGGGGUGGUGGCCUACCAAGGCGGUGACGGGUAGCCGGCCUGAGAGGGUGGGCGGCCACACUGGGACUGAGAUACGGCCCAGACUCCUGCGGGAGGCAGCAGUGGGGGGUAUUGCACAAUGGGCGGAAGCCUGAUGCAGCGACGUCGCGUGAGGGAUGGAGGCCUUCGGGUUGUGAACCUCUGUUUCCGGUGGUGAAGGCCCUGUCCGUGUGGUGGGGUUGACGGUAGCCGGGGAUGAAGCGCCGGCUAACUACGUG